CCUACGGGAGGCUGCAGUGGGGAAUAUUGGACAAUGGGGGGAACCCUGAUCCAGCCAUGCCGCGUGUGUGAAGAAGGCCCUCGGGUUGUAAAGCACUUUCAGUGAGGAAGAACGCCUGGUGGUUAAUACCCAUCAGUAAAGACAUCACUCACAGAAGAAGCACCGGCUAACUCCGUGCCAGCAGCCGCGGUAAUACGGAGGGUGCGAGCGUUAAUCGGAAUUACUGGGCGUAAAGCGCGCGUAGGUGGCUUGAUAAGCCGGUUGUGAAAGCCCCGGGCUCAACCUGGGAACGGCAUCCGGAACUGUCAAGCUAGAGUGCAGGAGAGGAAGGUAGAAUUCCCGGUGUAGCGGUGAAAUGCGUAGAGAUCGGGAGGAAUACCAGUGGCGAAGGCGGCCUUCUGGACUGACACUGACACUGAGGUGCGAAAGCGUGGGUAGCAAACAGGAUUAGAUACCCUUGUAGUC
rnacentral:rRNA from 1 species